CCUACGGGUGGCAGCAGUGGGGAAUAUUGGGCAAUGGGCGAAAGCCUGACCCAGCAAUGCCGCGUGCAGGAAGAAGGCUUUCUGGUUGUAAACUUCCUUUGACAGGAACGAGCAGAAGACGGUACCUGUCGAAUAAGCCACGGCUAACUACGUGCCAUCAGCAGCGGUAGUACGUAGGUGGCAAGCGUUGUCCGGAUUUCCUGGGUGUAAAGGGCGUGUAGGCGGGCUGACAAGUCAGAUGGGAAAUCCGGGGGCUCAACCCGCGAACUGCAUUUGAAACUGUUGGUCUAGAGUGUAGGAGAGGCAGGCGGAAUUCCUAGUGUAGCGGUGAAAUGCGUAGAUAUUAGAAGGAACACCAGUGGCGAAGGCGGCCUGCUGGACGACAACUGACGGUGAGGCGCGAAAGCGUGGGGAGCAAACAGGAUUAGAUACCCCGGUAGUC
rnacentral:rRNA from 1 species